GUUAGGAAUAUUGGUCAAUGGGCGGGAGCCUGAACCAGCCAAGUCGCGUGAAGGAAGAAGGAUCUAUGGUUCGUAAACUUCUUUUGCAGGGGAAUAAAGUGCAGGACGUGUCCUGUUUUGUAUGUACCCUGAGAAUAAGGAUCGGCUAACUCCGUGCCAGCAGCCGCGGUAAUACGGAGGAUCCGAGCGUUAUCCGGAUUUAUUGGGUUUAAAGGGUGCGUAGGUGGUUUGAUAAGUCAGCGGUGAAAGUUUGCAGCUUAACUGUAAAAAUGCCGUUGAAACUGUCGGACUUGAGUGUAAAUGAGGUAGGCGGAAUGCGUGGUGUAGCGGUGAAAUGCAUAGAUAUCACGCAGAACUCCGAUUGCGAAGGCAGCUUACUAAGCUACAACUGACACUGAAGCACGAAAGCGUGGGGAUCAAACAGGAUUAGAUACCCGGGUAGUCC
rnacentral:rRNA from 1 species